ensembl:lncRNA
CCGUGGAGGGUUUUUUCAAAAGAGGCUGUAGUGCGCACCAAAAGUUCAGCCUGUACUCAGUGAUAGACGCGGACAGGCUUGUGCACUGUUUAUCUAGUUGCUUCGUAUGUUUGUACAUAUGGAUGACAAGAAGCCUUUAAUAUUCAUAAUCUGCCUAUUGUAUUAUGUAGCCACGUGUGUUUUGGGCAACCCUGACGCAGCUUGCAGAUACAGGACAGCAAGGGUUUCCAAUAGAGGAGGUGAAAUGGUGUCUUGUUUUGAGCCAAGAGGAAGUAAUGACCCUGUGUGCAGGACAGGAUUGAAAAGCUUGGAGGGCUGCUGUGUUUACAUUAAAGAUGACCAGGCGUGGUUGAAGUGGGACGAGAAAACAAUAUUGAGAUGUGACAGCACACAUUAUGGGAACAGCGAUGGUGAAUGUGCCAGCAAUCAAUCCAGCCUUGACUGUGAUGGAGAGAUUUCUGCCAACAUGACACCUGGCACAGACACACCUGGCACAGACACACCUGGCACAGACACACCUGGUACAAACCUCUUUCAAACAUUAUUAGCUAUAUUUUAUGUGUCCAUUUGUCAUAACCUAACUGGUUUAAAAUAACGUUGAUAAAUACACAUGUAUAAAUGCUUAUCACAGGUAAAACAGUAAUGGAGGACAGACCCAAUAGAACCCCCCCACUGUGGAGUCUUUCUCUCCACAGUUCGAGUGCAGUAUCUAUGUUCCUCCCCACAUGUCUAUGUGCUGCUUCUCCCCAGAACAAAUGCCCAAAACUAGAUGGGACAGCAGAACACUACCCAGAACGGGACACCCACUGCCAGUCCAAGAGGUAGACUGUUCCUGUUACUCCCAGUCAGCAUGGUAGCUGUGAUUCUACUGGGAACGGCAUCCUGCAAACACAGGAAGAAGUCAGACUCCAGGUUUUUUUGUUGUCCUUGAUGGCUUUUGUUUUGGCAAUAUUUUCUGUUUUCUCUCUUUUGUUCAUUUUGUUGGUUGUUGGUGCGUUGGGGGAUGGUGACUCAGGGAAACUGUGUGGGGGAUCUUGGAGGGCUGGUGGCCUGGCGGUUUGGAGCUAUGGCUGGUAGCUGAUAAUCAUUGAUGUCUCAGGAGCAGGAGUAGAAAACACGGUUGACAUGUAUAAUUGUAAUUCAUACAUGCAGACACUGCAUUAUUCAAAUAGUGGAGUUUGAUAUGACUGAAAAAGAAUGUCUCAGAGAUUCAUGGUCAUCACAAGGUUUAACUGAGAUGGAAAAAUACUGAACAACACAAUAGCAGGAACUGAGCAACUGUUAUAACUAGGCUGCGAUACCAGAACAGUAAGAAUCUAUACAUCGACGGAGGGAGGACUCCAAGACUCCAAGAGGCGGGGACCCGCCUGAGCGCCUGCGAUAGGCUGAGCAAGUCUAAACCACGCUCUGCCUCUACUGUGAUAGGCCAACAGACGGGUUGGCACAAUGUCUAUCAUAGUAUAAGAACAACUGUUUACGUACAUCCUGUCAGUUCCCUGUUCUGCCCUGCGUGGUAUUACAGUGAGCCCGUAUAUAGGAACGUUGCAUUUGCCAUUUAUUGCUUAGCUAAUAAAAGUACAUAGAGUACAAUCAGUGACUCUGUUAUAACUUGUUCUGAUACCAGAUUCAAAUUUACGCAACUCUAACACUAGCUAGAUUCUUUACAUCCACUGUUUCA